rnacentral:ncRNA from 1 species
GCCCUUUAGAUGCUCUGGGCUGCACGCGUGCUACAAUGUAGGGAUCAAUAGGACUGCGAGCCUGAGAGGGUGCGCUACUCUUAUAAUCCCUAACGUAGUUGGGAUUGACGUUUGUAAUCAGCGUCAUGAACCAGGAAUCCCUUGUAAAUGUGUGUCAACAACGCACGUUGAAUACGUCCCUGCCCUUUGUACACACCGCCCGUCGCUCCUACCGAUUGGAUGACUCGGUGAAAUCACCGGAUGCUUACGAGCAGAAAGUGAUUAAAUCACGUUAUCUAGAGGAAGGAGAAGUCGUAACAAGGUAACGGUAGGUGAACCUGCCGUUGGAUCAGUU